GCCUUAAUGGUCUAGUGGUAUGAUUCGCGCUUCGGGACCGCGAGGUCCUGGGUUUGAAUCCCAGUUGAGGCC
rnacentral:tRNA from 1 species